GAGUUUGAUCAUGGCUCAGAUUGAACGCUGGCGGCAUGCCUUACACAUGCAAGUCGAACGGCAGCAUGAUCUAGCUUGCUAGAUUGAUGGCGAGUGGCGAACGGGUGAGUAAUACAUCGGAACGUGCCCUGUAGUGGGGGAUAACUAGUCGAAAGAUUAGCUAAUACCGCAUACGACCUGAGGGUGAAAGUGGGGGACCGCAAGGCCUCAUGCUAUAGGAGCGGCCGAUGUCUGAUUAGCUAGUUGGUGGGGUAAAGGCCCACCAAGGCGACGAUCAGUAGCUGGUCUGAGAGGACGAUCAGCCACACUGGGACUGAGACACGGCCCAGACUCCUACGGGAGGCAGCAGUGGGGAAUUUUGGACAAUGGGGGCAACCCUGAUCCAGCAAUGCCGCGUGUGUGAAGAAGGCCUUCGGGUUGUAAAGCACUUUUGUCCGGAAAGAAAUCGCACUUACUAAUAUUAGGUGUGGAUGACGGUACCGGAAGAAUAAGGACCGGCUAACUACGUGCCAGCAGCCGCGGUAAUACGUAGGGUCCAAGCGUUAAUCGGAAUUACUGGGCGUAAAGCGUGCGCAGGCGGUUGUGCAAGACCGAUGUGAAAUCCCCGGGCUUAACCUGGGAAUUGCAUUGGUGACUGCACGGCUAGAGUGUGUCAGAGGGGGGUAGAAUUCCACGUGUAGCAGUGAAAUGCGUAGAGAUGUGGAGGAAUACCGAUGGCGAAGGCAGCCCCCUGGGAUAACACUGACGCUCAUGCACGAAAGCGUGGGGAGCAAACAGGAUUAGAUACCCUGGUAGUCCACGCCCUAAACGAUGUCAACUAGUUGUUGGGGAUUCAUUUCCUUAGUAACGUAGCUAACGCGUGAAGUUGACCGCCUGGGGAGUACGGUCGCAAGAUUAAAACUCAAAGGAAUUGACGGGGACCCGCACAAGCGGUGGAUGAUGUGGAUUAAUUCGAUGCAACGCGAAAAACCUUACCUACCCUUGACAUGCCACUAACGAAGCAGAGAUGCAUUAGGUGCUCGAAAGAGAAGGUGGACACAGGUGCUGCAUGGCUGUCGUCAGCUCGUGUCGUGAGAUGUUGGGUUAAGUCCCGCAACGAGCGCAACCCUUGUCUCUAGUUGCUACGAAAGGGCACUCUAGAGAGACUGCCGGUGACAAACCGGAGGAAGGUGGGGAUGACGUCAAGUCCUCAUGGCCCUUAUGGGUAGGGCUUCACACGUCAUACAAUGGUGCAUACAGAGGGUUGCCAAGCCGCGAGGUGGAGCUAAUCCCGGAAAAUGCAUCGUAGUCCGGAUCGUAGUCUGCAACUCGACUGCGUGAAGCUGGAAUCGCUAGUAAUCGCGGAUCAGCAUGCCGCGGUGAAUACGU
rnacentral:rRNA from 1 species